rnacentral:pre_miRNA from 1 species
UCGGAAGUGCAAUAUUGAGUUUUUGAUUUUAAACACUGCCUACAUCCUGUAUGUGUUUUGCAUCCGAUACAGUUGUAGGAGUCGUUUGCAGUCAGAGAUUUCACAGACUGCGAGGAUCGA